rnacentral:rRNA from 1 species
UACGUAGGGUGAGAGCGUUAAUCGGAAUUACUGGGCGUAAAGCGUGCGCAGGCGGUGAGGUAAGGCAGAGGUGAAAUCCCCGGGCUCAACCUGGGAACUGCAUUUGUGACUGCAUCGCUGGAGUGCGGCAGAGGGGGAUGGAAUUCCGCGUGUAGCAGUGAAAUGCGUAGAUAUGCGGAGGAACACCGAUGGCGAAGGCAAUCCCCUGGGCCUGCACUGACGCUCAUGCACGAAAGCGUGGGGAGCAAACAGG